rnacentral:rRNA from 1 species
AUAACGUAGGGAAACUUACGCUAAUACCGCAUACGCCUACGGGGGAAAGCCGGGGACCUUCGGGCCUGGCGCGGAUAAAUGAGCCGAUGUCCGAUUAGCUAGUUGGCGGGGUAAAGGCCUACCAAGGCGACGAUCGGUAGCUGGUCUGAGAGGAUGAUCAGCCACACUGGAACUGAGACACGGUCCAGACUCCUACGGGAGGCAGCAGUGGGGAAUAUUGGACAAUGGGNGNAAGCCUGAUCCAGCCAUACCGCGUGGGUGAAGAAGGCCUUCGGGUUGUAAAGCCCUUUUGUUGGGAAAGAAAAGCAGCCGGUUAAUACCUGGUUGUUCUGACGGUACCCAAAGAAUAAGCACCGGCUAACUUCGU